GACGUAGGGGGCCAGCGUUGUUCGGAAUUACUGGGUGUAAAGGGUUCGUAGGCGGUGUGGCAAGUUGGGAGUGAAAUCUCUGGGCUCAACUGGGAGGGUGCGGCGGAAACUAGAAUGCUAGAGUGUGGGAGAGGUAAGCGGAAUUCCUGGUGUAGCGGUGAAAUGCGUAGAUAUCAGGAGGAACACCUGCGGUGUAGACAGCUUACUGGACCACGACUGACGCUGAGGCACGAAAGCGUGGGUAGCAAACAGG
rnacentral:rRNA from 1 species